UUCUUCUUCUUCUUCUUCUUCUCUACCAUCGUAUUAUCCUUCUUCUCCUAGUGAAACUUCUGCUUCUCAAUCUUCUUCAAGUCUUCCCCUACUACCUUCCCAACCUUCUUCAAGUUCUGUCCAUCCUUAUGCUGCUGCUGCUCCCGCGCCUGUCUCUUCCGCUGCCUCCGCCGAUGAUGGAGCGUUUGGAGCUACCAAUAUUGCCAAGUCUCCACAGGAUAUUGCUCCAGGUGCAGAACCUGAUAUAGAUUUGCGUGAUUGGAGAGUUCACUUGCAGCCUGAUUCACGACAACGAAUUGUCGAUAAGAUAGCAAAGACACUAAAGAGACAUCUGCCAUUUUCUAGUGAAGAGGGACUGCUAGAACGGAAGAAAAUUGCUGUAAGGUUUGAGGAAGAGAUUUAUGAUGCUGCCACAAGUCAGGUUAUUGGUCGCACCAAAUAGAUAUAGAUGUGUGCACGUGCAUGCUUGUUUGCAUAAGUAUGCAACAUGUGAAUCAUUGGGUUGUUGAUUUUAUUAAAUAUUUAUUUAUGAGAAUAUUUUUCUUUGAAAUGGGCCAAAUGGUAAAAGUUCUGAUCAAACAUUAAACAUUAAGCAUAAUGCCUUUUCUUGUUCCCACCCCAUUUUAUAUGUCUGUGUGUGUGUUUCCAUUGAUUGUCAUGAGAUAUAAUCUUUCUUCUCAUUAUCUCAAUUUCAGUCUGAUUAUCUUCGGAAAACUAGUUUGAAGAUGCUUAAAAUGGAUAUGGAGACCAUUGCUCAAGAUGAUGUGGCCAAUUCAGCGCAAUCCAACUCUAGUGUCUGUAG
rnacentral:misc_RNA from 1 species